UACGUAGGGCGCAAGCGUUGUCCGGAAUUACUGGGCGUAAAGAGCUCGUAGGUGGUUUGUCGCGUUGUCCGUGAAAACUCACAACUCAAUUGUGGGCGUGCGGGCGAUACGGGCAGACUGGAGUACUGCAGGGGAGACUGGAAUUCCUGGUGUAGCGGUGGAAUGCGCAGAUAUCAGGAGGAACACCGGUGGCGAAGGCGGGUCUCUGGGCAGUAACUGACGCUGAUGCGCGAAAGCCAGGGGAGCGAACGGG
rnacentral:rRNA from 1 species